rnacentral:rRNA from 1 species
CUACAGGUGGGUGAGGUGAAUAUCCUAAGGCGCUCGGAAGAACUGUUGUCAAGGAACUCGGCAAAUUAACCCCGUAACUUCGGGAUAAGGGGUGCCCUUUGGAGUGAAGGCCUUCGCGGCUGUAGCUUUGAAGGGCCGCAGAGAAAUGGCCCAUACAACUGUUUACUAAAAACACAGGUCUAUGCUAACUCUAAACGAGGAUGUAUAUAGACUGACGCGUGCCCAAUGCCGGAAGGUUAAGAGGAGCGGUUAGCGCAAGCGAAGCUGCAAAUUGAAGCCCCGGUGAAUGGCGGCCGUAACUAUGACGGUCCUAAGGUAGCGAAGUUCCUUGUCGGGUAAGUUCCGACCCGCAUGAAACGCGUAAUGAUAUGGGCUCUGUCUCGACAACAGAUCCGGCGAACUUGUAGCCGUGGUGAAGAUGCCACGUUCCCGCACCAAGACGGAAAGACCCCGUGAACCUUUACUAUAGCCCGAUAUUGGUGCUUGUCCUGACGUGCGUAGCAUAGGUGGGAGACGUUGAAGCUCGGCUUUUGGGUCGGGUGGAGUCAUCAGUGAAAUACCACUCUCGUUAUGAUAGGUUCCUAACGCGGCCCGUGUAGGGUCGCAGACAGUGUCAGGUGGGUAGUUUGGCUGGGGCGGUCUCCUCCAAAAAGGUAACGGAGGAGCACGAUGGUACACUCAGCGCGGUCAGCAAUCGCGCAUCGAGCGUAAGGGUAUAAGUGUGCCUCACUGCGAGAGAUAUAGCUCGAGCAGAUACGAAAGUAGGUCCUAGUGACCCGGCGGAUUCCAAGUGGAAGGGCCGUCGCUCAUCAGAUAAAAGGUACUCCGGGGAUAACAGGCUGAUCUCCCCCAAGAGUUCAUAUCGACGGGGAGGUUUGGCACCUCGAUGUCGGCUCAUCGCAUCCUGGGGCUGUAGGAGGUCCCAAGGGUUUGGCUGUUCGCCAAUUAAAGCGGUACGCGAGCUGGGUUUAGACCGUCGUGAGACAGGUCGGUCCCUAUCUGGUGUGGGUGUAGGAUGACUGAGGAGGUUUUCCCCUAGUACGAGAGGAUUGGGGAGGACCGCCCUCUGGUGCUCCAGUUAUCACGCUAGUGGUACAGCUGGGUAGCUAUGGCGGGAACGGAUAAGCGCUGAAUGCAUCUAAGCGCGAAGCCUUCUCCAAGACGAAUCAUCCCAAUCAGUCCCCUGGAAGACUACCAGGUUGAUAGGCCGGCGGUGUAAGCACAGCGAUGUGUUCAGCUUACCGGUACUAAUCGGACGAUCGGCUUAACC